GAUGAACGCUGGCGGCGUGCCUAAUACAUGCAAGUCGAGCGAACGGACGAGAAGCUUGCUUCUCUGAUGUUAGCGGCGGACGUGUGAGUAACACGUGGAUAACCUACCUAUAAGACUGGGAUAACUUCGUGAAACCGGAGCUAAUACCGGAUGAUAUUUUGAACCGCAUGGUUCAAAAGUGAAAGACGGUCUUGCUGUCACUUAUAGAUGGAUCCGCGCUGCAUUAGCUAGUUGGUAAGGUAACGGCUUACCAAGGCAACGAUGCAUAUCCGACGUGAGAGGGGGAUCGGCAACACUGGAAGUGAGACACGGACCAGACUACUACGGGAGGCAGCAGAAGGGAAUAUUCCGCAAUGGGCGAAAGAAUGACGGAGCAACGCCGAGUGAGUGAUGAAGGUCUUCGGAUCGUAAAACUCUGUUAUUAGGGAAGAACAUAUGUGUAAGUAAAUGUGCACAUAUUGACGGUACCUAAUCAGAAAGCAACGGCUAACUACGUG
rnacentral:rRNA from 1 species